AUUCAAAUGAGAACUUUGAAGACUGAAGUGGGGAAAGGUUCCACGUGAACAGCAAUUGGACGUGGGUUAGUCGAUCCUAAGAGAUAGGAGAAAUCCGUUUCAAAGCGGGUGAUUUUCGGAUCGCCUCUUCUAUCGAAAGGUAAUCGGGUUAAUAUUCCCGAACCAGGACGUGGAUAUUGAGUGGUAACACAAGCUAAGCUGGGGACGGCAGCGGGGGCCCCGGGGAGAGUUCUCUCUUCUUGUUAACAAGCGCACUGACCCUGGAAUCGGAUCGACCGGAGAUAGGGUUGGGGGCUUGGAAAAGGCGGUUAAUUUUUGACCGCUCCGGUGCGCUCUCGAUGUCCCAUGAAAACUCAGCGGAGUGACUUAUUCGCACCCCUGGUCGUACUCAUAACCGCAUCAGGUCUCCAAGGUUAAUAGCCUCUAGUCGAUAGGAUAAUGUAGAUAAGGGAAGUCGGCAAACUAGAUCCGUAACUUCGGGAAAAG
rnacentral:rRNA from 1 species